rnacentral:rRNA from 1 species
CCUACGGGAGGCUGCAGUGAGGAAUAUUGGUCCAUGGGCGCGAGCCUGAACCAGCCAAGUCGCGUGAGGGAAGACGGUCCUAUGGAUUGUAAACCUCUUUUGUCGGGGAGCAAAUUUCGCCACGCGUGUCGUUCCGAGAGUACCCGAAGAUAAAGCAUCGGCUAACACCGUGCCAGCAGACGCGGUAAGACGGAGGAUGCGAGCGUUAUCCGGAUGUAUUGGGUUUAAAGAGUGCGGAGGCGGAAGAUCAAGUCAGCGGUAAAAUUGAGAGGCUCAACCUCUGCGAGCCGUUGAAACUGGUUUACUUGAGUGAGAGAGAGGUAUGCGGAAUGCGAGGUGGAGCGGUGAAAUGCAUAGAUAUCACGAAGAACUCCGAAUGCGAAGGCAGCAUACCGGCGCUAAACUGACGCUGAUGCACGAAAGUGUGGGUAUCGAACAGGAUUAGAUACCCCGGUAGUC